UUGGCCGGAAUCUCCAGGGAUGACCAGCC
rnacentral:piRNA from 1 species